rnacentral:rRNA from 1 species
GUGUUUGUUUCUUGGGUCUGAGUGAACGCGGGGGGCACGCGUAACACACGCAAAUGGAACGGUAGCACAGAGGAGCUUGGUCCUUGGGUGACGAGUGGCGGACGGGUGAGUAAUGUCUGGGAAACUGCCCGAUGGAGGGGGAUAACUACUGGAAACGGUAGCUAAUACCGCAUAAUGUCGCAAGACCAAAGAGGGGGACCUUCGGGCCUCUUGCCAUCGGAUGUGCCCAGAUGGGAUUAGCUAGUUGGUGAGGUAAUGGCUCACCAAGGCGACGAUCCCUAGCUGGUCUGAGAGGAUGACCAGCCACACUGGAACUGAGACACGGUCCAGACUCCUACGGGAGGCAGCAGUGGGGAAUAUUGCACAAUGGGCGCAAGCCUGAUGCAGCCAUGCCGCGUGUGUGAAGAAGGCCUUCGGGUUGUAAAGCACUUUCAGCGGGGAGGAAGGCAAUGCGGUUAAUAACCGUGUUGAUUGACGUACCCGCAGAGAAACACCGGAGAACUCCGUGCCAGCAGCCGCGGUAAUACGGAGGGUGCAAGCGUUAAUCGGAAUUACUGGGCGUAAAGCGCACGCAGGCGGUCUGUCAAGUCGGAUGUGAAAUCCCCGGGCUCAACCUGGGAACUGCAUUCGAAACUGGCAGGCUUGAGUCUUGUAGAGGGGGGUAGAAUUCCAGGUGUAGCGGUGAAAUGCGUAGAGAUCUGGAGGAAUACCGGUGGCGAAGGCGGCCCCCUGGACAAAGACUGACGCUCAGGUGCGAAAGCGUGGGGAGCAAACAGGAUUAGAUACCCUGGUAGUCCACGCCGUAAACGAUGUCGACUUGGAGGUUGUGCCCUUGAGGCGUGGCUUCCGGAGCUAACGCGUUAAGUCGACCGCCUGGGGAGUACGGCCGCAAGGUUAAAACUCAAAUGAAUUGACGGGGGCCCGCACAAGCGGUGGAGCAUGUGGUUUAAUUCGAUGCAACGCGAAGAACCUUACCUGGUCUUGACAUCCACGGAAUUUGGCAGAGAUGCCUUAGUGCCUUCGGGAACCGUGAGACAGGUGCUGCAUGGCUGUCGUCAGCUCGUGUUGUGAAAUGUUGGGUUAAGUCCCGCAACGAGCGCAACCCUUAUCCUUUGUUGCCAGCGGUCCGGCCGGGAACUCAAAGGAGACUGCCAGUGAUAAACUGGAGGAAGGUGGGGAUGACGUCAAGUCAUCAUGGCCCUUACGACCAGGGCUACACACGUGCUACAAUGGCAUAUACAAAGAGAAGCGACCUCGCGAGAGCAAGCGGACCUCAUAAAGUAUGUCGUAGUCCGGAUUGGAGUCUGCAACUCGACUCCAUGAAGUCGGAAUCGCUAGUAAUCGUGGAUCAGAAUGCCACGGUGAAUACGUUCCCGGGCCUUGUACACACCGCCCGUCACACCA